GCCCGGCUAGCUCAGUCGGCAGAGCACGAGACUCUUAAUCUCGGGGUCGUCGAGGUAAAACGCGCCCCGGCAAAUAUUUUAAUUCGGGGUCGAUUUCAACGUUGGGCG